rnacentral:misc_RNA from 1 species
GAUGAAGAACGUAGCGAAAUGCGAUAAGUAGUGUGAAUUGCAGAAUUCAGUGAAUCAUCGAAUCUUUGAACGCACAUUGCGCCCUUUGGUAUUCCUUAGGGCAUGCCUGUUCGAGCGUCAUCUAAACCUUCAAGCUCAGCUUGGUGAUGGGCGACUGUCCCCCCCCCUCGCGGGGGGGACUCGCCUCAAAAACAUUGGCGGCCGGUACAUUGGCUUCGAGCGCAGCAGAAACGCGGUCUCGAGCCCGGUGGAUCGGCUCCCAUAAGCCUAUUCUUUUAUUUUGACCUCGGAUCAGGUAGGGAUACCCGCUGAACUUAAGCAUAUCAAUAAGCGGAGGA